UAGUGAGUUUGAUCCUGGCUCAGAUUGAACGCUGGCGGCAUGCUUUACACAUGCAAGUCGAACGGCAGCACGGGCUUCGGCCUGGUGCGAGUGGCGAACGGGUGAGUAAUAUAUCGGAACGUACCCAAGAGUGGGGAUAACGUAGCGAAAGUUACGCUAAUACCGCAUACGAUCCAAGGAUGAAAGCAGGGGACCGCAAGGCCUUGUGCUCCUGGAGCGGCCGAUAUCUGAUUAGCUAGUUGGUGAGGUAAAGGCUCACCAAGGCGACGAUCAGUAGCUGGUCUGAGAGGACGACCAGCCACACUGGAACUGAGACACGGUCCAGACUCCGUACGGGAGCAGCAGUGGGAAUCUCACAAGUGACGAAGUCUGAUGGAGCAACGCCGCGUGAGUG
rnacentral:rRNA from 1 species